GGCGGCAUGCCUUACACAUGCAAGUCGAACGGCAGCAUGGAAGAGCUUGCUCUUCUGAUGGCGAGUGGCGAACGGGUGAGUAAAGCAUCGGAACGUGCCCAAUCGUGGGGGAUAACGUAGCGAAAGUUACGCUAAUACCGCAUACGAUCUACGGAUGAAAGCGGGGGAUCGCAAGACCUCGCGCGAAUGGAGCGGCCGAUGUCAGAUUAGGUAGUUGGUGGGGUAAAGGCUCACCAAGCCAACGAUCUGUAGCUGGUCUGAGAGGACGACCAGCCACACUGGAACUGAGACACGGUCCAGACUCCUACGGGAGGCAGCAGUGGGGAAUUUUGGACAAUGGGCGCAAGCCUGAUCCAGCCAUUCCGCGUGCAGGAUGAAGGCCUUCGGGUUGUAAACUGCUUUUGUACGGAACGAAACGGCGAGCUCUAAUACAGUUUGCUAAUGACGGUACCGUAAGAAUAAGCACCGGCUAACUACGUG
rnacentral:rRNA from 1 species